rnacentral:rRNA from 1 species
AGCUUUAUGAAAUAAUAUAAAGUAACUCCUGCUCAGUGAUAAUUAACAGCCGCAGAAUUUUAUACUGUGCUAAGGUAGCAUAAUCACUUGUCUUCUAAUUAAAGAAUAGAAUGAACGGAAAAACGAAUUUCAACCUGUUUCAUUUUUUUUUAAUAAAAUUACCAAAAAGUAAAAACACUUUUUCUUUAAAAAAAGACGAUAAGACCCUAAAGAACUUAACUAAAGUUAAGCUGGGGCGGCUUUACUAAAAAAAUCUUAUUGCAUAUCCUCAUUUUCUUUAUAAAAUUUUUAAAUGUUACCUUAGGGAUAACAGCAUAAUCUAAUUUCAUAGCUCUUAUUAAAAAUUAAGAUUAUGACCUCGAUGUUGAAUUAAAAAUCUUCUAAACGAAAAAAAUUAGUAAGAAAGUCUGUUCGACUUUUAAUUAUUUACA